rnacentral:tRNA from 2 species
GCCGACGUAGCUCAGGUGGUAGAGCAACGCUUUCGUAAAGCGUAGGUCGCCGGUUCGAGUCCGGCCGUCGGCUCCA